AAUGAACGCUGGCGGCAGGCCUAACACAUGCAAGUCGAACGAACAGACGGCGAGCUUGCUCCUUUGUCGUUGGCGACGGACGGGUGAGUCGCGCGUAGAUACCCUUCCUAUCGGACUGGGAUAACUACGCGAAGCCUAAGACAAUACCGGCUCAUAUGUGGAACGGCUUAGUUCAAUAGUGAUAGCCGGCUUUGCUGUCAGUAAUAGAUGAGUCCGCGCCGCAUUAGCUAGUUGGUGAGGUACCGGCUUACCAGGGCAACGAUGCGUAGCCGACCUGAGAGGGUGAUCGGCCACACUGGAACUGAGACACGUCCCAGACUCCGACGGGAGGCCGCAGUAGGGACUCUUCCGCAAUGGGCGAAAGCCUGAUGGAGCAACGCCGCGUGAGUGAUGAAGGACUUCGGAUGGUAAAGCGCUGUUGUUAGUGAAGAAGAAAAGCGUAUUUAACGAGGCCCGUGUUGACGGUACCCAAAUAGAAAGCCCCGGCUAACUUCGUG
rnacentral:rRNA from 1 species